GAUUUCUUCCUCACGCAGCUGCAGCGGCUCAACAGAAAGAGUUUUGCUCGCGCCACUCUAGUAGGGCGCGAGCUGAGGCGACCGAGCAGCCACCUAGUAAGCCUGAGUUUUUGGUUUAGGACUCUAGAGAAAAACUGGUGCUUUAGCACAAAAUCAGUGAAGGGGAAAGAAGAUUUGAGAUGUUAUGAAGAAUAAAGAAGAAUUUUUGUCGCUUCGAAAAGGUAGACUUCUGUUGAGAAGUCUAUUUGAGGUUGUUUACUCGAGCGGUGAGUUCGAGAUGAGCGUGUGGAAAGAGCG